UGCCUGGGUGAUUUCAGUUUUUUCGGAAAAAACUGGACGGGCGGGUGGAAUUCCACCCGCCCGCCUAAACAUGCGUCAAACGGGGUGAAAUUCACCCCGUUUAACGCGUAACGUGAGCGGGUGGAAUUCCACACCGCACUCGAGACUCAUCCCCUCCCCCCCGCUCGACUUUCCCUCUCAUUUCGUCCCUCUGCCCGCAGCUCCUCCUCUCGCUCGAAGAGUACGCUUGAAGAGUAGGCCUGCAUCUCCCGCUCCCACCGUCGCCGGUCCGCCGUCGCCGCACUGACGGUCGCCGCUCCGCUUCUCUGCCGGUGAUCUUUCCCCCUUUCUCUCUUGCUCUCUGCUGCUCUCAUCUUCUCCCGCGUCAGUGCCCUAAUCGGUGGCCUAAGUUCUGUAGCACAGCAAACAGCUUCUCGCUCGCAGGGAAGACAGGGCUGCAGCCGCCAACCCCACGUUCGCCGCUCCUCCGAUCCGCCAUCGCUGUUGCUUUUGCCCUCGUAUUCUCAACUUCUGGUCACGAGGAAUAUACAACAGUUGGGAGCAGUGCCAACCAUUAGUGUAUCGCUACAAGGGUGCCCUGUUCAGAUCAUUUCAUAACUUUGAAGCAACUCAAUAUCACAUGAAUGAAUAUCUGCACAACAAAUACGGUGUGCAAUUAUGUAGGCCAUUGGACAUUGUCGAUGUCAACGCAACGGAAGAGAAAGAAGUGAUGAAGACAAAUGGACGGACUCACAUUCCACUUUUCUUGAUUGCUUGUUUUGUUACUACUUGGUUUCUUUGUUGGAUUGGUUAAACUUAUGUACUGGAUGGGACACAUAUGUUAUUUGGUUCUUGUUUUAAACUUUGUUGGAUCUGUACUUGUUAAACUUAUGUACUGGAUGGGACACACAUGUUAUUUGGUUCUUGUUUUAAAGUUUGUUGGAUCUGUACUCGUUAAACUUUCAUACAGGUUGUAGUCAAACUUAUGUACUGGAUGGGACAACCAG